CAUAUGGCAAUUGUCUAUGGCUUUAUGUCACCUGUCAAAGUAAAUCAAGAGAUCUGUCAGUCGCUGCAGAAAUUUUGUAAUCUCUUCAUGCCUAUUUGUUAUUUUUGUGAAAAAGUCGAAAAAGCUCAAGCAAGUCAUAUUGUUUUCAAUGAGAAUUGUAAAAUAAGGCAUAAUUCAAAGUCAAUCUAUGAUUUUAAAUCACGUCGUCGAGUUGACAGUGUAUCUCACAAAUUGGUGCAGAGGAAUGGUGAAAAUGUUAUGACCAUGUAAAGAAAAUUGAAAAAGAUUUCAUCAAGCAAGUUUGAGUAAUUGAAAUGCUGAAAGA